UACGGAGGAUCCGAGCGUUAUCCGGAUUUAUUGGGUUUAAAGGGUGCGUAGGCGGCCUUGUAAGUCAGGGGUGAAAGACGGCAGCUCAACUGUCGCAGUGCCUUUGAUACUGCAGGGCUUGAAUGUACUUGAAGUGGGCGGAAUGUGACAAGUAGCGGUGAAAUGCAUAGAUAUGUCACAGAACACCGAUUGCGAAGGCAGCUCACUAAAGUAAGAUUGACGCUGAGGCACGAAAGCGUGGGGAUCAAACAGG
rnacentral:rRNA from 1 species